rnacentral:rRNA from 2 species
UAGGGAAUAUUAGUUAAUGUGCGAAAGCGCGAACUAGCAACGCCGCGUGUGCGAUGAAGGCCUUCGGGUCGUAAAGCACUUUUCUAAGGGAUGAGGAAGGACAGUACCUUAGGAAUAAGCAUCGGCUAACUACGUGCCAGCAGCCGCGGUAAAACGUAGGAUGCGAGCGUUAUCCGGAUUUACUGGGCGUAAAGCGCGUGUAGGCGGUUCGGUAAGUUGGAUGUGAAAGCUCCCGGCUUAACUGGGAGAGGUCGUUCAAUACUGCCGAGCUAGAGGAUGGUAGAGGGAGGUGGAAUUCCGAGUGUAGUGGUGAAAUGCGUAGAUAUUCGGAGGAACACCAGUGGCGAAAGCGGCCUCCUGGACCAUUUCUGACGCUCAGACGCGAAAGCUAGGGUAGCAAACGGG